rnacentral:rRNA from 1 species
AUUGAACGCUGGCGGCAUGCUUUACACAUGCAAGUCGAACGAGUGGAGCACGGGUGAGUAAUAUAUCGGAACGUACCGAGAAAUGGGGGAUAAACAAUAGAAAGAUUGGCUAAUACCGCAAACAUUUCGAGCGGCCGAUAACUGAUUAGCUAGUUGGUGGGGUAAAGGCCUAAAAAGGCGACGAUCAGUAGCGGGUCAGAGAGUACGAUCUGACACACUGGGACGUAGACACGGCCCAGACUCCUACGGGAGGCAGCAGGGGGGAAUUUUGGACAAUGGGGGCAACCAUGAUCCAGCCAUGCCGCGUGUAUGAAGAAGGCCUUCGGGUUGUAAAGUACUUUUGUUAGGGAAGUGGUACCUAAAGAAUAAGCACCGACUAACUACGUGCCAGCAGCCGCGGUAAUUC